rnacentral:lncRNA from 1 species
CUGGAAGACACCAGCAGUCAUACCUUGUAAACCUGACGCUUCACUACACCAACAGCUCCUUGACAUAUUAAAUGACAAUAACGUUAGCAUAGGUAGUAAACAAGAACACCAGAAACGACACAACACUAGACCUGCUGUGUAUGACCAAUCCAUCAUUUGUCAAUCGAGUCGAAGCACUACCACCAAUUGGAGCGAGCGACCAUGACAUCGUUUACAGUGAAAUAAAUAUA